rnacentral:rRNA from 1 species
GUGGGGAAUCUUGCGCAAUGGGCGAAAGCCUGACGCAGCCAUGCCGCGUGAAUGAUGAAGGUCUUAGGAUCGUAAAAUUCUUUCACCGGGGACGAUAAUGACGGUACCCGGAGAAGAAGCUCCGGCUAACUUCGUGCCAGCAGCCGCGGUAAUACGAAGGGGGCUAGCGUUGCUCGGAAUCACUGGGCGUAAAGGGCGCGUAGGCGGACAGCUUAGUCAGAGUUGAAAGCCCAGGGCUCAACCUUGGAAUUGCCUUUGAUACUGGCUGUCUUGAGUUUGGGAGAGGUGAGUGGAACUCCGAGUGUAGAGGUGAAAUUCGUAGAUAUUCGGAAGAACACCAGUGGCGAAGGCGACUCACUGGCCCAAUACUGACGCUGAGGCGCGAAAGCGUGGGGAGCAAACAGGAUUAGAUACCCCAGUAGUCC